CCUCCUUUUCUUGGCAGGGCCAGAUAUGUGGCCCACUCUCCUUUAUGGAUGGAGGCAGAGGGAAAGGGCUCUGGCCCCUCAAUGUCGUGUCUUCAGUGCCAGCGGCUUCCCUUCCCCCGGUUCUAUCCUCAAGUACCAGGACACCA